AUAAACAAGAGCAGAAUAAACAAAGACAGAAGAAGAUGACCUAA
rnacentral:sRNA from 1 species